rnacentral:rRNA from 1 species
ACGGAAGGCAGCAGUGGGGGAUAUUGCACAAUGGGGGAAACCCUGAUGCAGCGACGCCGCGUGAGUGAUGAAGUAUUUCGGUAUGUAAAGCUCUAUCAGCAGGGAAGAAAAUGACGGUACCUGACUAAGAAGCCCCGGCUAAUUACGUGCCAGCAGCCGCGGUAAUACGUAGGGGGCAAGCGUUAUCCGGAUUUACUGGGUGUAAAGGGAGCGUAGACGGCAAGGUAAGUCUGAUGUGAAAGCUAUGGGCUCAACCCAUAAACUGCAUUGGAAACUAUCUGGCUAGAGUGUCGGAGAGGUAAGUGGAAUUCCUAGUGUAGCGGUGAAAUGCGUAGAUAUUAGGAGGAACACCAGUGGCGAAGGCGGCUUACUGGACUGUAACUGACGUUGAGGCUCGAAAGCGUGGGGAGCAAACAGGAUUAGAUACCCUGGUA